rnacentral:lncRNA from 10 species
AAGAGGGAGGCCAGAAGUCCAACUGUUAAAAAACUUUUACCCUUUACCUGGCAUGUCAGGCUUUUGGAUUCCUUUCCCCUGAGCUCAAUUUUAAGCCCAGCAGUUUAAGGUUGGGGAAGUUAACUUUUCCAAUUUGGGGGAUACAUCUAAUGGGAUUGUCCUGUGGUACAGGAACACAAAUACCCAUCGGUGAAGAGAGGACAGAGGAGGAAAAAGGAGAAAGAAGGUUUUUUUGUUUGUUUGUUUUAUUUUCAAAGGAAUCCCAGUGAUUCAAGAUGCAUUGGAGAGAAAUACAGACUGAAGAUAAUUGGUUACCCAUCUAGAAAGAGAUAUAUGAAGUCUGGGGGUAAGACCUGCAGUAAUUUCCCUUAAGGCCUGACCUAGCUCCUGAGUUUGAUUGAGAUUAUGUGCCCAACUCAGCCUCUCUACGUGGAUGUCAUCUUCAUCAGUGCAUCUUGUCAGUUCUGUCUAAAGCAUAGAGGUAUCCACUUUGCUCUGUCUUCAUUGCCAGCAUCCCAGUUUAGGGGUGAGAUGAAGACAGGUGUUGAAAUGGGAAUUGUGUGCCUAAAGAAGAGGAAGGAGACUGGUGAUACACAAGGGAAUUUUGUGUGAGCAUAUUCCAUUGUUUAAAAGCAUCUGUGAAAGAAGCAUUCAUUUUUUUCAAGGAUAAUUUUUCAAUACAACACCUGGUCAAAAACUAAAUUGGACUCUGAGACUGCAGCAUGACUUCCUUUUACAUCACAUAGCAUUUCGAUGAAAAUGCAUAAGAAUGCUUCCAUUUGCAGGAG